UGUACCCACGUUUGUACUGUGGUGAUGGAUGUAGGCCCGAAAAGCUUGAUCUAUAAUAUAUGUCAACAAACUUAAGUUGCUUGUUUUAUGAUACUAGCUUAAACAAAGAUACGAGCUAUCCAUUAUUAAUUUACUUCCUUAAUUAUAGAUCAGUGUUUUUACUCUAAAAUUGCAGUUUAUAAUAAUCUUUAAGAAUACACUAACGAGUAAAUUUUACUUGUAAUUGAACCAAUAAAAAUUGUUAAUAAUUAUAUAUUGAAUGGUUAUUAAAACUUGAUACACUUGACACGAUGGAGAGGCAAAG